rnacentral:rRNA from 1 species
GAUGAACGCUGGCGGCGUGCCUAAUACAUGCAAGUCGAGCGAACAGACGAGGAGCUUGCUCCUUUGACGUUAGCGGCGGACGGGUGAGUAACACGUAGGUAACCUACCUAUAAGACUGGGAUAACUUCGGGAAACCGGAGCUAAUACCGGAUAAUAUUUCGAACCGCAUGGUUCGAUAGUGAAAGAUGGCUUUGCUAUCACUUAUAGAUGGACCUGCGCCGUAUUAGCUAGUUGGUAAGGUAACGGCUUACCAAGGCAACGAUACGUAGCCGACCUGAGAGGGUGAUCGGCCACACUGGAACUGAGACACGGUCCAGACUUCUACAGGAGGCAGCAGUAGGGAAUCUUCCGCGAUGGGCGAAAGCCUGACGGAGCAACGCCGCGUGAGUGAUGAAGGUCUUCGGAUCGUAAAACUCUGUUAUUAGGGAAGAACAAACGUGUAAGUAACUGUGCACGUCUUGACGGUACCUAAUCAGAAAGCCACGGCUAACUACGUG